rnacentral:rRNA from 1 species
UACGUAGGGCGCAAGCGUUGUCCGGAAUUAUUGGGCGUAAAGGGCUCGUAGGCGGUUUGUCGCGUCGGGAGUGAAAACGCACAGCUUAACUGUGUGCUUGCUUUCGAUACGGGCAGACUAGAGGCAUGCAGGGGAGAACGGAAUUCCUGGUGUAGCGGUGAAAUGCGCAGAUAUCAGGAGGAACACCGGUGGCGAAGGCGGUUCUCUGGGCAUGUCCUGACGCUGAGGAGCGAAAGUGUGGGGAGCGAACAGG